GCCCUAACCAGAUCUCAGAAAAUUUCCAUUUUCAUAACUCAUUCGAUAGAGUCGAUCUGUUUAUUGAGGUCUUAAGCAGGCAAUGGAUACCCAUCUUCCGAAAGUCGACUUCGUCUGAUUCUGCCCUAACCCUAGCGUGUCUCUUCACAAGUUAAUGACCUAAACCCGAUAGGUUUCUUCUGAAAACCUUCAAGGAAGCCAAAGUUGAGGCAGAUCUUCGUAUUUCUUCAUCAAAGGUUGAUUUUUUAAAGGUUUCUAGAAACUGAAGUGGAGCUUCCUUAAUCAAUCACAGGAGUUAUGGCCGAGUCAAGCUACCACACUUUUACUGUUGCAGUGGAGAUAGAGAGGGAUCAGAGGUAGGGAAUUAGUCAGCUUUUUGUCCAUGUUUGCUGCAAAUGAAGCUAGACAUUAUGGUCCAAGCAACUGAAUCAUGAAGUUCCAUCGAUAUAUACGGACUUUUUGAAGAAACCAACUUUCUAGCAUUCAUAGAUUACUUGGGAACUAUUUUUGAGGCGAUUGGAGGUCUCAAAAUUCGGGCAUGUGCAACCCCAAAUUGUGCAACAACUAAAUGGGUAGAUUACUUUAACUGUUAUUAUUUUACGUAUCAUUAAAUAUGCGGUACUGAUGUAUUUGUCUUUUAUGCUUGAUGUAUGCAUAUGAUUGGUGUAAUGCAAUUAGUGGUGUAGAUAUGAUUGUGGCAUGUUCGCAAUCAAGUACAUGGAACAUUGGAACGGGGCAACACUAGCACAUUCAAUCGCGGAGAUGCAUCUAUAUCGAUUGAGGCUGGUCGUUACUUUGGUUACUAAUGCGGCAAACAAUGCUAGAGAUAAGGUCUUGAAGGCAUGUCGAAUUUGAUUAAUAGAGGCCACCUUAGACAAGCAAGGUCAAUGAUGGAACUGUACUUGCAUGAAAGUGGGGCUGGUGGUGUCGGCAGUGCAUAAUCAGAAGAAUCUAGAUGUGGUUUGUAAGCUGGGAAAGCACUGAAAAAAAAAAAGAACAAGAAAAGACCAAGGUUCUCCUCAUUAAUGCGAUCUCACUUGCACAUGCCAGUUGCUGUGAAACAGUGUAAGGUGAAAUGCCCUGAUGAACUCUCCAAGAUGGUUGUGAUUAAAGACAAUUUUUGAGGACAUAAGUUGGGGCAAACAAUUAUUUCUGUCAGUACGAAAAAUAGUGCAGGAAUGUUACACAAAGCACUUGUGGAUUUUUGAGUAAUUUUUUAUUCCCUGUACUGAUAAUGAAUUUCCAUUAUGGUAAUUGCUUCGAAUUUGUCUGUGAAGGUGAAUUUGGACGUCAACUAUGAUAUGCUGCUUAAAUAUGGGACACAGGCAGAGCCUGACUAUGAGGUGUACUUGCAUAGAAAUGGGAGGGCAUGACGUUUUGGCCGCAGAGGGAGCUGUUUUUAAUUGGUUGUGCAGUGAGAAAGACAACAUCCUGAUCUUAAAAAUUGAAAAUCAUUUUGGGGUUCAGAUAGUAGAGGACAAGAUGCAUCUAUAUCGAUUGAGGCUGGUCGUUACCUUGGUUACUAGUGCCGCAAACAAUGCUAGAGAGAAGGUCAUGAAAGCAUGUCAAAUGUGAUUAAUAGAGGCCACCUACAACAUGGAAGGUCACUGAUGGGACCUUACUUGCAUGAGAGUGGAGCUGGUGGUGCCGGCAGUCCAUAAUCAGAAGGUGGAGCCGUCUAUGUUAUUGCGAUGCUCAAAUCAGUUUUAGGUUACACUAUUAUAUCUACUACAUUUUCUGUGUUUUAGAUAAAACUACUUCUUAGCUUCAUGUCACCUUCUUUUCCCUUCUUUUUAUUCUCAUCAUUAUUGGUAUUAUUAUUAUUAUUAUC